AUUGAACGCUGGCGGCAUGCCUUACACAUGCAAGUCGAACGGUAACAGGUUAAGCUGACGAGUGGCGAACGGGUGAGUAAUGUAUCGGAACGUGCCCAGUUGUGGGGGAUAACUGCUCGAAAGAGCAGCUAAUACCGCAUACGACCUGAGGGUGAAAGCGGGGGAUCGCAAGACCUCGCGCGAUUGGAGCGGCCGAUAUCAGAUUAGGUAGUUGGUGGGGUAAAAGCCUACCAAGCCAACGAUCUGUAGCUGGUCUGAGAGGACGACCAGCCACACUGGGACUGGGACACGGCCCAGACUCCUACGGGAGGCAGCAGUGGGGAAUUUUGGACAAUGGACGCAAGUCUGAUCCAGCCAUGCCGCGUGCGGGAAGAAGGCCUUCGGGUUGUAAACCGCUUUUGUCAGGGAAGAAAAGGUUCUGGAUAAUACCUGGGACUCAUGACGGUACCUGAAGAAUAAGCACCGGCUAACUACGUGCCAGCAGCCGCCGUAACAC
rnacentral:rRNA from 1 species